AGGACGAACGCUGGCGGCGUGCCUAACACAUGCAAGUCGAACGCGCUCCAUUCGGUAGCAAUACUGAUGAAGAGUGAGUGGCGAACGGGUGAGUAACACAUGAGCAACCUGCCCCGAAGACUGGGACAACACCGGGAAACCGGUGCUAAUACCGGAUAUCCCUAUCGGACCGCAUGAUCUGAUAAGGAAUGGAUUCCGCUUCGGGAGGGGCUCGUGGCCUAUCAGCUAGUUGGUGAGGUAACGGCUCACCAAGGCAUCGACGGGUAGCUGGUCUGAGAGGACGAUCAGCCACACUGGGACUGAGACACGGCCCAGACUCCUACGGGAGGCAGCAGUGGGGAAUCUUGCGCAAUGGGCGAAAGCCUGACGCAGCAACGCCGCGUGGAGGACGAAGGCUUUCUGAGUUGUAAACUCCUUUCAGCAGGGACGAUAGUGACGGUACCUGCAGAAGAAGCACCGGCCAACGUACGUACCAGCAGCCGUA
rnacentral:rRNA from 1 species